AAUCAACGCUGGCGGCGUGCCUCAGACAUGCAAGUCGAACGAGAACCUCCCUUCGGGGAGGAGACAGUGGCGCACGGGUGAGUAACACGUGGGUAAUUUACCUUUGGGUGGGGAACAACAGCCGGAAACGGCUGCUAAUACCGCAUAAUGCAGCGGCUCGACAUCGAGACAGUUGUUAAAGCGGGGAUCGCAAGACCUCGCGCCUGAAGAGAAGCCUGCGGCGGAUUAGCUAGUUGGUAGGGUAAUGGCCUACCAAGGCGACGAUCUGUAACCGGCCUGAGAGGGCGGUCGGUCACACUGACACUGACAUACGGGUCAGACUCCUACGGGAGGCAGCAGUCGGGAAUUUUGGGC
rnacentral:rRNA from 1 species